rnacentral:tRNA from 1 species
UGACAUGUAGCGCAGUUGGUAGAGCGCUUGCCUUGAACGCAUGAGACCCAGGUUCCAUUGCCAGCACCUCAA